rnacentral:misc_RNA from 1 species
GUGAAUCAUCAAAUUUUUGAACGCAAAUUGCACUCUCUGGUAUUCCGGAGAGCAUGCCUGUUUGAGGGUCAGUUUAAAUAACAAUCGGUUUUGUUGCUGCCUUUCUUUGUGACGCACCGGAUUUGGAUCGUCUUGCCUUCGGUUAAGUGACCUAAAAUUUUUCAUGGUUUUUUUCGAUCGUAUUUAAAUGAUUUUACGUACGUUUGCGAUAUCGAAUCCUGGGUUUGGGCAUCU